rnacentral:sRNA from 1 species
AUAUCUCUCUGUACGGGAAGGAUGAGAAGCUUCGACUAAGGUUCGAUUCGAGCGCAGCGAGAAAGCGUUGCCUGCGGCAACGACCCGAAGGGCGAAGCGCGCAGCGCUGAGUCAUCCUUCCCCCAC